rnacentral:rRNA from 1 species
UGGGGAAUUUUGGACAAUGGGCGAAAGCCUGAUCCAGCAAUGCCGCGUGUGUGAAGAAGGCCUUCGGGUUGUAAAGCACUUUUGUCCGGAAAGAAAUCCUUGGCUCUAAUACAGUCGGGGGAUGACGGUACCGGAAGAAUAAGCACCGGCUAACUACGUGCCAGCAGCCGCGGUAAUACGUAGGGUGCAAGCGUUAAUCGGAAUUACUGGGCGUAAAGCGUGCGCAGGCGGUUUGCUAAGACCGAUGUGAAAUCCCCGGGCUCAACCUGGGAACUGCAUUGGUGACUGGCAGGCUAGAGUAUGGCAGAGGGGGGUAGAAUUCCACGUGUAGCAGUGAAAUGCGUAGAGAUGUGGAGGAAUACCGAUGGCGAAGGCAGCCCCUGGGCCAAUACUGACGCUCAUGCACGAAAGCGUGGGGAGCAAACAGGAUUAGAUACCCUGGUAGUCCACGCCCUAAAACGAUGUCAACUAGUUGUUGGGGAUUCAUUUCCUUAGUAACGUAGCUAACGCGUGAAGUUGACCGCCUGGGGAGUACGGUCGCAAGAUUAAAACUCAAAUGAAUUGACGGGGUCAUAGCUGUUUCCU